UACGUAGGGUGCAAGCGUUAAUCGGAAUUACUGGGCGGAAAGCGUGCGCAGGCGGUUUUGUAAGUCUGACGUGAAAGCCCCGGGCUCAACCUGGGAAUUGCGUUGGAGACUGCAAGGCUUGAAUCUGGCAGAGGGGGGUAGAAUUCCACGUGUAGCAGUGAAAUGCGUAGAGAUGUGGAGGAACACCGAUGGCGAAGGCAGCCCCCUGGGUCAAGAUUGACGCUCAUGCACGAAAGCGUGGGGAGCAAACAGG
rnacentral:rRNA from 1 species